AGAUGCGUGGGCUCGUGGAAAUCUACAAUAAUUUGGACAACUAUUCUAUGCGUCUGUUGUAGCUCCAUAGUCUGCUAUGAAUUUGUUAUGUUGAUCUUCAGGGAAGGAGAAGCCUGGACACUCUUCAUAUUAUAGUGAGGAUUCUGAGGUGUGCUUUUCUUUUAUUGCCUUCUAAAUACUUUAGCAUCCACAAAUAAAUUGGCUCACCUUAUUAUGAAAUGACCAAUAUUUACUGAAUAUAUCCGGUUUGUAUCAUUGAAAUCUGAUUUCUAUCGCCAUGGCUGCGUUUAUCAUAAUUAUAUCCUAAGGAUGGUUCCUACAAGGCUCAUUGCCAUUAUGGUUCGUAUAUACAAACAGAGACUAAGAUAGCUAAAGUUGUAGUUCAAAUUACCACUUAUUUCAUUUAACUAUUAUAAUGUAUAUUGUCCUUUCUCAUUGCCAUUGAAAUUUUCCAUCCCCAUUGAAAAUUUCCAUUCCAAAUCUCCACUAAACUGAAGUUUUCUUGAGAAAAAGGUGGUCAUAUCUGUUAUUUUCUGAUUGCUUCAGCAGUUGCGAGGGCAAAUUGUUGGCAUGUUAUUUUCCAAAUUCAAUUAUAGAAUUGCUUGUGAGCUGUGACAAGUGAACCUUUUUUGAAGUGCAUAAACUUUUACUCUCCAUACCAGGUUACAACAGUGAUUAAUAACCUUAUCAUCCGUAAACUUUAUUGCCAUCACCAUGGCACGAUGAUCAUAAGUGGGAAUAUAGACAAUAUUCAUGCAAGGUCAGGUUGAAACAUCAGUCUCUUUUCUUGGAUGCAAUCCUCUCCAGGUUGAAGGAUUUGUUGAGGAUAGUGAUGGUAAUAAGGUUUCUACCCUGACUAGAAAGUGGGACGAGAGCAUGUACUAGCCUAUUACUGAUGAUAAAUCUGAAGCCUCUCUGUUCUGGGAGAAAAAAAAACUUCCGGCUAACACCACAAGAUACAGCCUGUCAUCAUUUGCAAUAACUCCAAAUGAGUUGACGCCAAAACUCAAGCUCACGGCUUGAUUCAGAGGUAGAUAGAUCCAUGCCCUUGAAAUGCCUCUCCUAUAUUGUGUGGCCAGUUCUCAAGUUUAUUUGAAUUACCACAGUGAACCUUCAAGUUUAAACCUUUCACCCACCUUUAAUUGAUAUGAUGCUAAAUUACUACU